CAGUCGCCGCGGGAACACGUAGGGUGCAAGCGUUAAUCGGAAUUACUGGGCGUAAAGCGUGCGCAGGCGGUUAUAUAAGACAGAUGUGAAAUCCCCGGGCUCAACCUGGGAACUGCAUUUGUGACUGUAUAGCUAGAGUACGGCAGAGGGGGAUGGAAUUCCGCGUGUAGCAGUGAAAUGCGUAGAUAUGCGGAGGAACACCGAUGGCGAAGGCAAUCCCCUGGGCCUGUACUGACGCUCAUGCACGAAAGCGUGGGGAGCAAACAGGAUUAGAUACCCGAGUAGUCCCUGUCUCUUAUAC
rnacentral:rRNA from 1 species